rnacentral:rRNA from 1 species
AAUGAACGCUGGCGGCAUGCCUAACACAUGCAAGUCGAACGAAGGCUUCGGCCUUAGUGGCGCACGGGUGCGUAACGCGUGGGAAUCUGCCCUCAGGUUCGGAAUAACAGCGAGAAAUUGCUGCUAAUACCGGAUGAUAUCGCGAGAUCAAAGAUUUAUCGCCUGAGGAUGAGCCCGCGUAGGAUUAGCUAGUUGGUGUGGUAAAGGCGCACCAAGGCGACGAUCCUUAGCUGGUCUGAGAGGAUGAUCAGCCACACUGGGACUGAGACACGGCCCAGACUCCUACGGGAGGCAGCAGUGGGGAAUAUUGGACAAUGGGCGAAAGCCUGAUCCAGCAAUGCCGCGUGAGUGAUGAAGGCCUUAGGGUUGUAAAGCUCUUUUACCCGGGAUGAUAAUGACAGUACCGGGAGAAUAAGCUCCGGCUAACUCCGUGCCAGCAGCCGCCGCCU